UUAAGCGACUAAGCGUACACGGUGGAUGCCCUGGCAGUCAGAGGCGAUGAAGGACGUGCUAAUCUGCGAAAAGCGACGGCGAGGUGAUAUGAACCCCUGACCCGUCGAUGUCCGAAUGGGGAAACCCAGUGCAAUCCGUUGCACUAUCGUUAACUGAAUACAUAGGUUAACGAGGCGAACCGGGGGAACUGAAACAUCUAAGUACCCCGAGGAAAAGAAAUCAACCGAGAUUCCCCCAGUAGCGGCGAGCGAACGGGGAGCAGCCCGGAGUCUGAAUCAGCUUGUGUGUUAGUGGAACGGUCUGGAAAGUCCGACGGUACAGGGUGAUAGUCCCGUACACGAAAACACACUUGUUGUGAACUCGAAGAGUAGGGCGGGACACGUGGUAUCCUGUCUGAAUAUGGGGGGACCAUCCUCCAAGGCUAAAUACUCCUGACUGACCGAUAGUGAACCAGUACCGUGAGGGAAAGGCGAAAAGAACCCCGGCGAGGGGAGUGAAAAAGAACCUGAAACCGUGUACGUACAAGCAGUGGGAGCCUCUUUAUGGGGUGACUGCGUACCUUUUGUAUAAUGGGUCAGCGACUUAUAUUCUGUAGCAAGGUUAACCGUAUAGGGGAGCCGAAGGGAAACCGAGUCUUAACUGGGCGUUAAGUUGCAGGGUAUAGACCCGAAACCCGGUGAUCUAGCCAUGGGCAGGUUGAAGGUUGGGUAACACUAACUGGAGGACCGAACCGACUAAUGUUGAAAAAUUAGCGGAUGACCUGUGGCUGGGGGUGAAAGGCCAAUCAAACCGGGAGAUAGCUGGUUCUCCCCGAAAGCUAUUUAGGUAGCGCCUCGUGAAUUCAUCUUCGGGGGUAGAGCACUGUUUCGGCUAGGGGGCCAUCCCGGCUUACCAACCCGAUGCAAACUACGAAUACCGAAGAAUGUUAUCACGGGAGACACACGGCGGGUGCUAACGUCCGUCGUGAAGAGGGAAACAACCCAGACCGCCAGCUAAGGUCCCAAAGUCAUGGUUAAGUGGGAAACGAUGUGGGAAGGCACAGACAGCCAGGAUGUUGGCUUAGAAGCAGCCAUCAUUUAAAGAAAGCGUAAUAGCUCACUGGUCGAGUCGGCCUGCGCGGAAGAUGUAACGGGGCUAAACCAUGCACCGAAGCUGCGGCAGCGACACUAUGUGUUGUUGGGUAGGGGAGCGUUCUGUAAGCCGUUGAAGGUGGCCUGUGAGGGUUGCUGGAGGUAUCAGAAGUGCGAAUGCUGACAUAAGUAACGAUAAAGCGGGUGAAAAGCCCGCUCGCCGGAAGACCAAGGGUUCCUGUCCAACGUUAAUCGGGGCAGGGUGAGUCGACCCCUAAGGCGAGGCCGAAAGGCGUAGUCGAUGGGAAACAGGUUAAUAUUCCUGUACUUGGUGUUACUGCGAAGGGGGGACGGAGAAGGCUAUGUCAGCCGGGCGACGGUUGUCCCGGUUUAAGCAUGUAGGCGGAGGUUCCAGGUAAAUCCGGUACCUUUUAACGCUGAGGUGUGAUGACGAGGCACUACGGUGCUGAAGUGAUAAAUGCCCUGCUUCCAGGAAAAGCCUCUAAGCAUCAGGUAACACGAAAUCGUACCCCAAACCGACACAGGUGGUCAGGUAGAGAAUACCAAGGCGCUUGAGAGAACUCGGGUGAAGGAACUAGGCAAAAUGGUGCCGUAACUUCGGGAGAAGGCACGCUGAUAUGUAGGUGAAGUCCCUGCGGACGGAGCUGAAAUCAGUCGAAGAUACCAGCUGGCUGCAACUGUUUAUUAAAAACACAGCACUGUGCAAACACGAAAGUGGACGUAUACGGUGUGACGCCUGCCCGGUGCCGGAAGGUUAAUUGAUGGGGUUAGCGGCAACGCGAAGCUCUUGAUCGAAGCCCCGGUAAACGGCGGCCGUAACUAUAACGGUCCUAAGGUAGCGAAAUUCCUUGUCGGGUAAGUUCCGACCUGCACGAAUGGCGUAAUGAUGGCCAGGCUGUCUCCACCCGAGACUCAGUGAAAUUGAACUCGCUGUGAAGAUGCAGUGUACCCGCGGCAAGACGGAAAGACCCCGUGAACCUUUACUAUAGCUUGACACUGAACACUGGUCCUUGAUGUGUAGGAUAGGUGGGAGGCUUUGAAGCGUGGACGCCAGUCUGCGUGGAGCCAACCUUGAAAUACCACCCUUUAAUGGCUGGUGUUCUAACGUAGACCCGUAAUCCGGGUUGCGGACAGUGUCUGGUGGGUAGUUUGACUGGGGCGGUCUCCUCCCAAAGAGUAACGGAGGAGCACGAAGGUUGGCUAAUCCUGGUCGGACAUCAGGAGGUUAGUGCAAUGGCAUAAGCCAGCUUGACUGCGAGCGUGACGGCGCGAGCAGGUGCGAAAGCAGGUCAUAGUGAUCCGGUGGUUCUGAAUGGAAGGGCCAUCGCUCAACGGAUAAAAGGUACUCCGGGGAUAACAGGCUGAUACCGCCCAAGAGUUCAUAUCGACGGCGGUGUUUGGCACCUCGAUGUCGGCUCAUCACAUCCUGGGGCUGAAGUAGGUCCCAAGGGUAUGGCUGUUCGCCAUUUAAAGUGGUACGCGAGCUGGGUUUAGAACGUCGUGAGACAGUUCGGUCCCUAUCUGCCGUGGGCGCUGGAGAAUUGAGGGGGGCUGCUCCUAGUACGAGAGGACCGGAGUGGACGCAUCACUGGUGUUCGGGUUGUCAUGCCAAUGGCACUGCCCGGUAGCUAAAUGCGGAAGAGAUAAGUGCUGAAAGCAUCUAAGCACGAAACUUGCCCCGAGAUGAGUUCUCCCUGAGACUUUAAGUCUCCUGAAGGAACGUUGAAGACGACGACGUUGAUAGGUCGGGUGUGUAAGCGCAGCGAUGCGUUGAGCUAACCGAUACUAAUGAACCGUGAGGCUUAACCUU
rnacentral:rRNA from 1 species